GCUAUCUUUAUGCUGUCAGAACAACAGAGGAACGCGUUGAAAGCGAUGAAAAGGUAAGCAAAAUGAACAGAAAUACUAAUGGAAGCUAAGUUUUAGAGUGUUUUUGUUCAUGAAAACAUCGUAUGAAUUUACGGACGACAUAUCUUUAACACUGAAUACAGUAUAUCGACUGAGCAGCGAGUACCUGAAAUGUUUUAUUACUACCUUGAAACAUUUUGUAAAGCCUUUCUUUCGUUGUGAACAGAAAAUAAAGCGCUAAAGCAAUGCACGUAACAUAGAUGCUACCUAUCAAACAACACGUCGUUAAAACAUGAACCAUUACGCAUAGCCAAGAAAAUAGGUUGCAAGACAAAAGUGGUAUUAAGGUGAGCUCAGUGAGGACAGUAACCUUACCUGCAAUAAACGGUCAAAAGCUCAGUUAAUUUUGAUUUCCUGUACGAACAGAGAUUUCGAAAACAUCGCUUAUCCAUUCUUUUGAUUUUGCGGAUUUCUUGUAAAUAGUGUCAGAAAAGAUACCACGUGAAUAACCGGCUUUGGCAGCCAAGCGUCCAUAACGACGCUGCUUUGUGAUUCUUCAAUGUCGCCUAUUCCGGUUCUUGUGGGCCAAAAUCCGUUGAGUUAGGUUGCUCAGCCACCAGCUGGGACCAUGAACCACGUUCAGUUCGUAAUGAAACAGGUCAGUUUUACCCUACUGUUCACUGAUCGUUGGAACAGCAAUCCGACUGAAUAUCAGAGGAGCCACAGGGUAUAAAACUUGGCUCAUUCUUUUGGUUGAAAUGCCAAGGGCACUUAGUCACAAUUGGAGAGAUAAUGACCUUUUUCAUAGUAGAUCUUCAGAUUCACGGGCUUGGCCUGUUGGAUGUAUCUGUAAGUAAACUUCAAAAUGCCCUACCAACAGAUGGAUGAGCAUAUUGUAAGAAUUUGCAAUUUGCUCAUCCAUCUGUUGGUAGGGCAUUUUGAAGUUUACUUACAGAUACAUCCAACAGGCC
rfam:Trichuris trichiura, WGS project CBXK01000000 data, contig: TTRE_2345